CCUACGGGAGGCAGCAGUAAGGAAUAUUGGACAAUGCUCGCAAGAGUGAUCUAGCCAUGCCGCGUGCAGGAAGAAUGCCCUAUGGGUAGUAAACUGCUUUUGAACUAGAGAAAACCCCAGUACGUGUACUGGGCUGAUAGUAUAGUUAGAAUAAGCAUCGGCUAACUUCGUGCCAGCAGCCGCGGUUAAGACGAAGGAUGCAAGCGUUAUCCGGAUUCAUUGGGUUUAAAGGGAGCGUAGGUGGACUGAUAAGUCAGUGGUGAAAUCUCCGAGCUUUAACUCGGAAAUUGCCAUUGAUACUGUUGGUCUUGAGUACAGUUGCUGUGGGCGGAAUAUGACAUGUAGUGGUGAAAUACAUAGAGAUGUCAUAGAACACCGAUUGCGAAGGCAGCUCACAAAGCUGUAACUGACACUGAGGCUCGAAAGUGCGGGGAUCAAACAGGAUUAGAUACCCUGGUAGUCCGCACCGUUAAACGAUNAUACUCGCUGCGUAGGGGUACGGACCGUUACGUUAGGUGUUAGACGAAGGAACGUAGUAAGUUAAGUUACCGUACCGUUACGGGUUAGGUACGGCCGGCCGGACCGGUACGGUUAACGUUAAACGGUUAAGUUAGACGGACGUUGGAGACGUUGGCCGACGGACGACGACGAGGGAGGUUAGG
rnacentral:rRNA from 1 species